UACAGAGGGUGCAAGCGUUGUUCGGAAUUAUUGGGCGUAAAGCGCGUGUAGGCGGCUUUGCAAGUCGGGUGUGAAAGCCCUCAGCUCAACUGAGGAAGUGCGCCCGAAACUGCAGAGCUUGAGAACCGGAGAGGAUGGCGGAAUUCCCCAAGUAGAGGUGAAAUUCGUAGAUAUGGGGAGGAACACCGGUGGCGAAGGCGGCCAUCUGGACGGAUACUGACGCUGAGACGCGAAAGCGUGGGGAGCAAACAGG
rnacentral:rRNA from 1 species